rnacentral:lncRNA from 1 species
GGAAGUACAGCUUCAGCGUGCCUGCGAUGGCGUUCACGUCCAUCUCGCUCAUCAUCACCGACACGUCCUUGUUAUCUGGAAAGAGCACGGAAAUGCAGCGGCCUCCUUGAAGAUCCUGAUAAAUGAAGAAAAGACACAGAGAAGGAUGUGACAUGCCUGGGCCAUGGAGCACUCUGAGAUCUCAUCGCGGACACCACUGCCCACACCUCCAUCCCGUCC